CCUACGUGUGGCAGCAGUGGGGAAUAUUGCACAAUGGGGGAAACCCUGAUGCAGCGACGCCGCGUGAGCGAGGAAGUAUUUCGGUAUGUAAAGCUCUAUCAGCAGGGACGAAAAAAGACGGUACCUGACUAAGAAGCCCCGGCUAACUACGUGCCAGCAGCCGCGGUAAUACGUAGGGGGCAAGCGUUAUCCGGAUUUACUGGGUGUAAAGGGAGCGUAGACGGCAAGGCAAGCCAGAAGUGAAAGGGCAGGGCUCAACCCUUUACAUGUUUUUGGAACUGUAUGGCUGGAGUGCAGGAGAGGUAAGUGGAAUUCCUAGUGUAGCGGUGAAAUGCGUAGAUAUUAGGAGGAACACCAGUGGCGAAGGCGGCUUACUGGACUGUAACUGACGUUGAGGCUCGAAAGCGUGGGGAGCAAACAGGAUUAGAUACCCUGGUAGUC
rnacentral:rRNA from 1 species